rnacentral:rRNA from 1 species
CCUACGGGAGGCUGCAGUGGGGAAUAUUGCACAAUGGGGGAAACCCUGAUGCAGCGACGCCGCGUGAGUGAAGAAGUAAUUCGUUACGUAAAGCUCUAUCAGCAGGGAAGAAAAUGACGGUACCUGAGUAAGAAGCCCCGGCUAACUACGUGCCAGCAGCCGCGGUAAUACGUAGGGGGCAAGCGUUAUCCGGAUUUACUGGGGUUAAAGGGAGCGUAGGCGGUGAGCCAAGUCUGGAGUGAAAUGCCGCAGCUUAACUGCGGAACUGCUUUGGAAACUGGCGAACUAGAGUGGGCGAGGGGUACGCGGAAUGCGUUGUGUAGCGGUGAAAUGCGUAGAUAUUAGGCAGAACUCCGGUGGCGAAGGCGGCUUACUGGACCGUAACUGACGUUGAGGCUCGAAAGCGUGGGGAGCAAACAGGAUUAGAUACCCCAGUAGUC